rnacentral:rRNA from 1 species
GGAGCGCCACGACCGGUUCGUCGGCGGCGAGAAACUCCCGGGCAAGGUGACCUUCGUCUCGGCGCAGGAGCAUACAGGCCCGGUGAGCGUCGGCCCGUCGGUGGACCGAGGAAGACCGUCGCGGAGCGGCGUCGACCGUUCGUCGUGUGUUGGCGUUCGACUCGGGGGGACUGGUUCCAGUGCCCUCGGACCGCGCCGGCGCAGCGGCGGGCGCGCACGGCGUCGCGCCUGGGGUCGGUGGCGAAACGGCCGGCAACCUGUCCGACCCGUCUUGAAACACGGACCAAGGAGUCUAACAUGUGCGCGAGUCGUUGGGCGCUACGAAACCCGAAGGCGCAAUGAAAGUGAAGGCCCGGUCUCCGGCCGGCCUGGGUGGGAUCCCGGCGGUCUCGGCCGUCGGGCGCACCACCGGCCCGUCUCGUUCGUUACGUCGAGGAGGCGGAGCAAGAGCGUACACGUUGGGACCCGAAAGAUGGUGAACUAUGCCCGAGUAGGACGAAGCCAGAGGAAACUCUGGUGGAGGUCCGCAGCGAUUCUGACGUGCAAAUCGAUCGUCAAACUUGGGUAUAGGGGCGAAAGACUAAUCGAACCAUCUAGUAGCUGGUUCCUGUCGAAGUUUCCCUCAGGAUAGCUGGCGCUCGUCGUGAGCAGUUUUAUCCGGUAAAGCGAAUGACUGGAGGCCUUGGG